AGAGUCUCCAUCCAGCUGGAUCACUGUCACAGGGAGACCUACAACCACAACCUCGCCCACCACUUCUACAAAUAUGCCACCUACCUCUGCUUUGUCCCCUUACUCUACCACCCUCCAUCUUGUGAUCAGAGUAGUCUGUCACCUGGUGGUGUUCUGUCCAUAAUUCAUCUCCACUUUCAUCGUGAUGUCUCUAUAUCGAGGCAGAGCCAAAGAAAAUGACUAUCCCCAUGGCAACAGCAACCAAUGCUGAGCAGAGAUUGUGUGAGGACUAUGACGAUAUUGGGGCGGUGACCACUGAGCAUCAGUUCUAAGCUCAUGCUCCAUCAGAGGGAGUUCACUGUGACUGAAUUACAUGUGAUAUCAUAACACCUGGCUUUGCUCAU